rnacentral:rRNA from 1 species
GAUGAACGCUGGCGGCGUGCCUAAUACAUGCAAGUCGAGCGAACAGACGAGGAGCUUGCUCCUCUGACGUUAGCGGCGGACGGGUGAGUAACACGUGGAUAACCUACCUAUAAGACUGGGAUAACUUCGGGAAACCGGAGCUAAUACCGGAUAAUAUAUUGAACCGCAUGGUUCAAUAGUGAAAGACGGUUUUGCUGUCACUUAUAGAUGGAUCCGCGCCGCAUGAGCUAGUUGGUAAGGUAACGGCUUACCAAGGCAACGAUGCGUAGCCGAGCUGAGAGGGGGAACGGCCCCUGUGGAGCUGAGACGCGACACAGACUCCGAGGGGAGGCAGCAGCAGGGAAUCUUCCGCGAUGGGCGAAAGCCUGACGGAGCAACGCCGCGUGAGUGAUGAAGGUCUUCGGAUCGUAAAACGCUGUUAUUAGUGAAGACCAAAUGUGUAAGUAACUAUGCACGUCUUGACGGUACCUAAUCAGAAAGCCACGGCAAACUACGU